rnacentral:lncRNA from 1 species
CACAGCUUGAGGGGGCAGAGGCAGGGCAGAAGCGGGCUUGCUCUUACAGGCUUGAAUCUCUGUGUUCUGUCCUGAUGCUGUGCCAACCCCUACUCCGGGGGGCCCUGCCUCUUCCUGCGGCCACAGAACUACCUUCCUUUCCACUGACCACAGGAGCCAUUCAAUUCUUGGCCUCCUCCUGAUAUCGUUCUGAGGCUUUGCGAGCUCUGGGCAACGGAAGAAAGAUCCAGUGUUAACAUCUGUGUGGUAAUUUUCCAUGACUAUCUCAGAUGGCCGAAGACAUGACUGCUAUUUUCUGGAUCACGACAUCUUUCAGGCUUCAGACUGACCCCUCUGGACAAACAGGGCUUAGCUUCUGGAAAGAAGCAGGAUUUCCUCUUGAUCAACAAAGGAGAAUGCGACUCCCGAAGGGGCAAACCAAUUUCCACUCGGUCUCCACUGCCAUCUUCCUAUGAUCGACUUUUAAAGAGAGCAGGAGCUUUGGAGCUCAUGGUUGGGAGGUGUUUCUACCGGAAUGCACACAGGUCCUCUCCAGGUGCUUGUAUGCUGCUUCUCACAUGGGAACAGUGCUCACCACCCCGGGAGGAACUUACAGACAGUGAAGCUGGAUUCCAGGGACGCGAGAUCCUUCUGCCCAAUGUUUCCACCAUGCGGUUGGUCACCCAGUUGGGACCAGAACAGAGGAACUUGGACCAAAAGGACAUCAUAAUGCUUGGAAGAAUCAGAGAAAGCUUCUAGAAGGAGCUGUAUUCAGGCUGGGACAAAGGUGACGCAUGCAUGGCUAGUUUCUAAAUUUACAAUAAUCCUCUAUGAUUAGGGAUUUUUUUUUUUUCUGGUCUGUGUUAAGGAAUAUUUUCCUACCUUAAAAUCAUACAGACAGUUUCAAGGGACAAAGGUAGUACUUUCUGUUAUCUUAUAAAACCUCUAUAGUUUUGUCUUCUAUGUUUAGGUUUAUAAUAUAUCUGGAGUUAAUUUUUGUGCAGAGUGUAGCAUUCCAUAAUUCUAAAAGAUACAUGCACCUCAAUAUUCAUUGUAGCACUGUUUAUGAUAGCCAAAACAUGGAAGCAACCUAAAUGUCCAUCAACAGAGGAAUGGAUAAAGAAGAUGUAGUGUGUAUAUACACAAUGGAAUAUUACUCAGCCAUGAAAAGAAUGAAAUCAUGCCACAUGCCAACAUGGAUGGACCUAGAGGAGAUCAUACUGAUUGAACUCAGGUAGUGAAAGAUACACAUCACAUGAUAUCACUUAUAUGUGGAAUCUAAAAAAAGGAUACAAAUGAACUUAUUUGCAGGAUAGAAACAGACACAGAUUUUGAAAACAAAUUUAUGGUUAUCAAAGGGGACAGGUUAGGGGGAAGGACUGGGGAUUUGAGAUUGUCAUAUGCACACUAAGGUUUAUGGAAUGAUUGGCCAAAGGUGACAUGCUGUUUGGCACAGAGAACUCUCCCUAAUAUUCUGUGAUCAUCUAUGUGGGAAAGGAAUCUGAAAGAGAACGGAUGUGUGUACAUGUAUAACUGACUCACUUUUUUUGUAUAGCAGAAAUUAUCACAACAUUGUAAAUCAACUCUACUUCAAUAAAACUUUAAAGAUG